rnacentral:lncRNA from 1 species
AUCACCAUGUUCUCGGUGGUUGCAAUGUUGCUGGAUUUCAAUGUGGAUGCUAUACUGUACUGCAUCAUCUUUUUACUACCGCCGUCCACUCUGAUUGGAUGUCUGAUCUUAUCUAUGCAUCUUUUCAUAUAUCGGAUCUCUCGUGAAGAAUCAAUUGUAGAGCCAUUUCUGGUAUUCCUCAUUCCUUUACUUCAUGUUUUCAUUUUUAUUUUUACCCUUCGAUGUCUGGAAUGGAAGUUUGGAAAGAAAACAAUGAGGAAGGAUCCCAUUUUUAGAAUCUCUCCAAGAAACAAUGAUGUGCAUCAAAACCCAGAAGAGCCAGAAGGUGAGGAUGAAGAUGUUCAAAUGGAGAGAAUGAGAACAGCGAGUGCCUUGGCAUCCACCAGUUUUGAUGAGAAGCCAGUCAUUGUUGCCAGCUGCCUACGCAAAGAGUACGCAGGGAAAUGGAAACAUUGCCUUUCUAAGAAGAAGGCUAAGAUAGCCACCAGGAAUGUCUCAUUCUGUGUCAGGAAAGGUGAGAUUCUAGGAUUGCUGGGACACAAUGGAGCUGGCAAAAGUACAUCUCUUAAAAUGAUAAGUGGAGACACAAAAUCCACAGCUGGGCAGGUGCUACUGAAAGGGAGCAGAGAAGGGGACGCCCUGGGGUUCCUGGGGUACUGUCCUCAAGAGAACGCUCUGUGGCCCAACCUCACUGUGAAGGAGCACCUGGAGGUAUUUGCUACAGUGUUGGGCCUGAGCAAAAGUCACGCUGCAGUCCAAGUUAGAGAAGGUUAAGCAGACUUUUGACUUGGAAGAGUAUAGCCUCUCUCAGUCUACCUUGGAGCAGGUCUUCUUAGAGCUCUCCAAGGAGCAAGAGAUGGAUGGCUUUGAGGAAGAACUAGACUCCUCUAUAAAAUGGAAGCUCCUCCCACAGGAAGAGGUUUAAGCCAAAAAUAUUUCCUGUUCCUUUGUCAGACUGUGUUGUUUCUUAAAGACAUCUAUUUUUAUAUAAGAUCAAUGAAAUAUUUAAGCCCCUAUAUUAUAAACACCAUGAUAGUUCUUCAGGGAUUGGAGAAAAGGGGUAAGUGCUGGAUAGAGGCUGAACCAUAUCCCUUUAGAGCACUUGAUGCCAUAGUUCUGUAGAAUGAUGAAUAAACAGUUACUUUU